rnacentral:rRNA from 1 species
AGGAUGAACGCUGGCGGCGUGCCUAACACAUGCAAGUCGAACGUCCUGUCUCGCAAGAGGCAGGGAGUGGCGGACGGGUGAGUACCACGUGGGUGAUCUACCGUGAGGUGAGGAAUACCGGCGAGAAAUCGCCGACAAGACCGCAUAGUCUCGGUGCAAGCCGAGGAAAGCUUUCUCGAGAGAGGGAGCGCCACACGAGGAGCCUGCGCCCGAUUAGCUAGCUGGUGGAGUAACGGUUCACCAGGGCGACGAUCGGUAGCUGGUCUGAGAGGACGAUCAGCCACACUGGGAUUGAGAACGGCCCAGACUCCUACGGGGGGCAGCAGUGAGGAAUUUUCGUCAAUGGGGGCAACCCUGAACGAGCAACGCCGCGUGCAGGAAGAAGGUUUUCGGAUCGUAAACUGCUUUUCGUCGGGGAAGAGAACGGACGGUACCCGAGGAAUCAGCCCCGGCUAACUACGUGCCAGCAGCCGCGGUAA